GGCGGGAGACGACCCCCGGGCACAGUUGGGUAAUAGUGGGCAUUACCUUAGUGCCCCCUGUGACCAACUCCAGGCCCUGUCAUGGCCACUGGAUAUUUUCUGAGCAGGUGAGGAUAAGCCCAGGGUGUGGGACCCACAGAGGAAAAGGACACUGUCCCAUGCACAGAGAAGGGUAUCUUUCUAGUGGGGUUCUGCUCUGCCCUUUCCUGCUCUGUCAUGGCCAGUGCUGCCUCUGAUGCAGGACAGGAAGAGGUUAGGGCUCCUUGCAAGCUAGAUCCUUGUAAAUUGGGAGAGUCUGCAUUUAUGAAGCGGAUCUCUUACAAGGACUUAAUGAAACUAUAAGUAGGAGGGAAAAAAAAAUCACUGCUUGCGAAUGCACUAUUUUUGUUGGGAAAAAAACCCUAUAAAUAGCUUUUUCUGCUCUCUGUAAUCUUGACUGACAUUAAUUGGCACCUUCCAAUUUGAUCAGUCAACAACUCCUCCAUCCUUCCCACCAUGGAUAGCGGACACUUGCCAACUUCUACCUUUUAAUCUUGGCAAGAAGGAGUGUUGGCCAAAGGGCCAGCUUAUUAUUCAGCCUUUUAGGCCAAGUAUUUAUUCAAAGUCUUACGUGAUCAGAAUUAAAUGCAAACCCUUGUUGUGUUUGUCUUCUCCACAUCUGCUUCCUCAAGGAUGGCUAAGUUUAAGUUGUUGGUGCUCCGAGUCACUAAUGAGGAGACUCACGGGGCUCCUUUUGUCCUUGCUCCUAAGGGGUCUGAGGGGUGCUGUAAAACCUUGUGGCCAUUGUCCCCAGCAUGAACCAGGGGACUGGAACCUUGGAAUAUCCUGGGGCUGCUGGCCACUCCCCACCCACCACAGAGGGUCUCUCUGGGACUCAGCCCAGGAAGAGGUGUCUGACGCAGUAGCUCCCUGAUCACACAGGGGUGACGAACUUCUGAAGGAUCCCGUGAGAGCCAGCACCCCCACCCCCAGAAAAUCCACAAAACGCAGAGACAUGUCAAGUCCUGCAUGUGGUUUCUCAGGCCCUCCCACGGCUUCAGACUGACCAUGAGCAGUAAGGAAGGUGCCGUUGGCUUGAUGGUGACUUUGUAGCCUUGGUAUCAAGGUCUAACCAGGGAGACCGUGGCCUCUACACAUGGUAUCAAGAGACACACUGCAAAGGCCUGGCUGCUGUGAGCCUGGGGCCUGGCCCGGCAAGCUCUCGGGAAGGGCAGGAGUGGAGUCGCUAUCUGUGGUGGAAUUCCUCAUAUGGGCAGGCAUCCGCACGGCCUUUAAGGCCUUUCAACUGAUUGAACCAGGCUCACCUGGAUUACAGAGGGCAGAAACCAUGGGUGCUAGGCAGUUUUCUGUCACUGUGGCAAAGUACCUGAGAUCAUCAACUUUGGGAGGAGAGGCUGACCCUGGUCAGGGCUUCAGAUGUUUCGGGCCCUAGCUGCCUGGCACGGCCAGCUUGGGCCUGAGGUAGCACAGUACAUCAUGGUGGGAGAGUAAGGCAGAGGAGGGCGGCUCUCCUCAGGGUGCCUGGGGGCAAAGAGAGAGGCAGGAAGCAGGUGGGGUCAGUAUGUCCCCCCCAGGGCACGCCCCGUGACCUCCCACAGCCUCCACAGCCUCCAGCUGGAGGCUCCCACAGCCUCAGCUCCUACAGGAUCCUCCCCGUCCCAGAGCACCACAGGCUGUGACCCGGCCCUGAACACGUGGGCCUUGGGGACUUCCAGAUCUGUGGAUUACCUUCAUAGCCACACUCAGAAGAUGCAGGUUGGUGAGAUAUUUAAGGUGACAAGAUUGUUAGGGUCAUAGAAGAUCUCCUCCGUGGCUUCUCUCCUGUUCAGAUGACCCUACUGAUAAAUGACCAGUAACCAAGGCCCUUCUUGAGGUGAGCAGAAACUGACUGGUAUGGGAAAUGCUACCUGAGCAGCCAGGGGUUCUGUGUGGAGUUACAAGUAUACACCAGCUGGGCGACUGCGGGCAGACUGCUUGCCUACCCUGAGCCUGUUUCCUCACCUGGAAAUGGGGAUAAUCAGGCUUGCUUUACAUCUUAAUUGUUCAGAGGAAUAAAUUUGACCAUGGUUUGGAAAUGCCCUGUUCACAGAGAGCUGCCGAGGAGUUCAGCGCCCAGAUCUGAGCUCUGUGUCUCGCACAGGGGGACAAAAGCACUUUAAACAGCUGCUAUGAAGAUGUAAAAGGUCAGUGUGAAGGAAAUGGAGAGCAGCCCCCAGGGAGAAAGGAGGACCGUGGAUGUGGGGGAAGGCAUCUCUGGACUUCCACUAUUUCCCAGCAACAACUAACUGCUCCCCCUGACGGCCCAACCCAAGAUGCAGUCUGCGGUGAUUAAGGUCUCACUUAGACCCUAUAAAAAAUCAGACCCUGGCCUGGGAUGUGGCUCAAGCGGUAGCGUGCUCGCCUGGCAUGCGUGCGGCCCGGGUUUGAUUCUCAGCACCACAU